AAACAUUACUUUCGUUUUCUGAAAUCUAUUACGUUUUCUGAAAUCUAUUAUUUGUGAUUAACAACUUACGUCUGGCGGAUUAAAAGACUGAUUUCAAAGUAAAUCAGCGUUUUCUGGUGGUGUCAAAAUCUGAAGAUCCUUCCCUUGCAGUCGUAUUGUCUUAUGCAGACGUUAAAAUUGUUCAAGCAACAGUAUAACGAUCCCUUCGUAGCACCACGACGUUGGUGAGCGAGGAUACAGAUUUGAUCAUCUUGACUCUUUACUCCGGAAGAGACAAUACGACCAUCUACUUUCGCUUUGAUGUAAAUAAAUAGUCAAAGGAACGGAACAAAAUUCAGACUGAAAAACAGAUAAUUGGAUUUUUUAUCAUUUUUGGCGGCCAUCUUGGACUCCAACUUGAAUUACAAAAAACGUAUCAUCACGCGGCACGUCCACCCAAAAUUUUCUGACACUUCAGACAUUUACCUAAAAAAUGAUAUAUAAAUCAGCUUUCACUCUUUUUUGCACAUGGGAGGUGCCCAGGGACUGUACUAGAUAGAUGUCACAGGCUGGUAAACCAAGUGAGCAGAAUCUUCUCAGACCUGAUUAUUUUCUAGCACAAUCAAUAUAGACAGUACAAAAAGAUCUUCAAAAAUAGAAAGAAACACUUUAAAAACGCGAUUAGAUUUAUGCUCUGUAUAUUUAAAAAAGAUCCAUCUACAAUUAGCUUGAACUUCGUGAUUUUCGUCGUUGUUACUGAUGUAUUGAUACCAUCAAUAAUGUGCACUGUAAACAAUGGUAGUUGAUGUUAUUUUUGUUAUAGCUCAUAAUGAAUAAUAUUGUUAUUAUAUUUAUGUAUAUA